AUUGAACGCUGGCGGCAGGCCUAACACAUGCAAGUCGAACGAGCGGCGGACGGGUGAGUAAUGUAUGGGAAUCUGCCUGAUGGAGGGGGAUAACUACUAGAAACGGUAGCUAAUACCGCAUACCAUCGGAUGUGCCCAUAUGGGAUUAGAGUGUGGGUGGGGUAAAGGCUCACCAAGGCGACGCUCUCUAGCUGGUCUGAUAGGAUGAAAAGCCACACUGGAACUGAGAAACGGCCCAGACUCCUACGGGAGGCAGCAGUGGGGAAUAUUGCACAAUGGGAGCAAGCCUGAUGCAGCCAUGCCGAGUGUAUGAAGAAGGCCUUAGGGUUGGAAAGUACUUUCAGCGGGGAGGCGUUACCCGCAGAAGAAGCACCGGCUAACUCCGUGCCAGCCGCCGCGGUAAUAC
rnacentral:rRNA from 1 species